rnacentral:rRNA from 1 species
UACGGAGGGUGCGAGCGUUGUCCGGAUUCAUUGGGCGUAAAGAGCGUGUAGGCGGCCAGGUAGGUCGGUUGUGAAAACUGGAGGCUCAACCUUCAGAGGUCGACCGAAACCAUCUGGCUAGAGUCCGGAAGAGGAAAGUGGAAUUCCUGGUGUAGCGGUGAAAUGCGCAGAUAUCAGGAAGAACACCAAUGGCGAAAGCAGCUUCUGGGACGGUACUGACGCUGAGACGCGAAAGCGUGGGGAGCGAACAGG